GAUGCUACAUCAGAUUCUGUCCAUCGUAGCAAAACAGGAGGAGCCAAUUUAUGAUGUUUUUGUUGACGUUUCGUAUGCGUCAUAGAUACAAUAAGGAACGUCACUAGUCACGGUUUAUGACGCUCGAUUAAUAACGGGGGAUUUUUGUCACUCGAGCAUCAUAAAUCACAAUUUAUGACAAAAAAUAUGCUUAUGACACGUUUUGAUUUGUCAUAGACCAGAAUAUUUCUUAUAGUACUCGCCGUCGUGCCGUCUGCAUGCCUCCCACUACGGCCCCCUUCCCCGACCUUCCUAACCAGUACACUGCCUCGCCCCCGCCGCCGACACCGGCUGUCGGACAUCCUCCACCACCCUACCGGUGGAGUCAUCGCUGCCUGGCCUCGCCGCCCGCAACCCACGCUCCUCCGCCGGGCAUGCCGCUGCUGUCGGACAACCCUUUAGGCCCGCUGAUCAUGGUGCCUCCCUCACAAUCACGAACCCAGGGAACCCAGAAACCAGGACCCCGCCAGCCUCCACCGCCAUCCGCAGCUGGCCGCCCCCGCCCACCUCCCGCCCGCAGGCCACGGUCAUCUUUCUUUUGCCAUUGUUACUUUCUGUAUGUCAUGUUACUUUAAUAGUCAUCAAUGUAACAAAAAGGGGUCUUUGGUUAACUUCAAUGGAGACGCUUCUCCAUAUAGCUUUUGCGUAAAACGAAUUCAGCUCACCAGCUCGCUCAUACCCGUUCAAGCACCAGCAGAAUUCAGCUCACCAAGCACCUCACAUGCCUUGGAGACAUUCUUUAUGGUCCGUGAUUUGGCCUCUCCCGCCGUCGUCUACGUGCCUGGCCAUCCCCACCAGAUAGCGCAAUCCUUCCUUGUAAUCC
rnacentral:lncRNA from 1 species